GCAUCUGCAUGUGUGGACUUUCUGUAAUUCAUUUGCCCAAAGUAUACUUUUCAGCGGACAUAGUUCACUCUUUGUCAAUGAGUGCUGUGGGGGGGUAUUUGCCAUCUGCUUGGACUUUGCAAAUUUCUGUGGUAAAGGAUUACAGUGCAACUAUCAGGCCUCAGCUGGAGUGUCUCUUCCUUAGACAAGCUUCCGAAACCAACACAGCAGUCCCUCACAUCCAACGGCUGAUUUUCACUGUCUUCAACUCAGCAUCCGAGAGUCGCUGGCUCUCUAUUGACUGACUUACUCAAGCUCUGUCAGAUUGUGUUAUGUCCUCUACCAGCUGCCUGUUUUCUUGCUGGGAUUCCUACAGAGAAGGUGCAAAGCAUCCACGAGAGAGACUCUGAGGACAAAGAAUAAAGAAAUCACCAGGCACAAAGUUCAUCUUCACACCACUUUGGAAGAAGAAACACAUGGCCUUUCCUCUGAAAUCUUCACCAUCAACAACCACGGAUGUAACUUUGCCAGUACUAUAGUUUUGAAGGUCUAUAAGAGAGCAACCAUACUGUUGAUUUUUCUAUACUAGGAAUUGAAUUUAGGGCCUCAUGCAUUCAAGGCAAAUAUUCUACCCCUGUACUAUACCCCAGUCCCCUAAUUCAUAAUCUGCUCUGCUCACUGGUUUGGAUCUUAGACAUGUUAUUUAAUCUUUUUCAUUCUAUUUUAACCUGAGUUUUAUAAAACAAGACAGCAAUGAUGUCCUGAAUUAAAGUCCUCAGGGCAGAACAAGCGCACUAAUAUGCAUAACUACCUCCAAGAGCUGCCACAGUCAGGCAUUUUAUUAAUUUUUGUUAAAUACAUGACAAUCCUUGGUGUCUUUUCCCUCCACACAUACUCAGUGCUCUGUAGGGUUACUGUGCCUCCCACGGAAUGUGAAGGCACCUGAAACGUUUGCAUUUGCUCUCUUCCAAAUGCAAAACUAAUAGUAUGAACAGGAAAAUAUUUACAAGUAC